CGACGGCUAAGGAGUCCAAUAAUAGGACGAAACGGCCGUCCCGUAC
rfam:Schistosoma rodhaini strain Burundi genome assembly, scaffold: SROB_scaffold0024020